rnacentral:tRNA from 1 species
AGGGACUUAGGAUAGUAUUUAAACCAAGGGCCUUCAAAGCCCUAAACGGGAGUGAAAACCUCCCAGUCCCUG